AGUGAACGCUGGCGGCGUGCCUAAUACAUGCAAGUCGAACGGAGAUUAAGUAGCUUGCUCUUUACUCUUAGUGGCGCACGGGUGAGUAAUAUAUAGCUAACUUGCCCAUUACUAAGGGACAACAGUUGGAAACGACUGCUAAUACCUUAUACUCCGUAUCUAUAUAAGUAGAUACGGGAAAGUUUUUCGGUAAUGGAUAGGGCUAUAUCGUAUCAGCUAGUUGGUAAGGUAAUGGCUUACCAAGGCUAUGACGCGUAACUGGUCUGAGAGGAUGAUCAGUCACACUGGAACUGAGACACGGUCCAGACUCCUACGGGAGGCAGCAGUAGGGAAUAUUGCUCAAUGGGGGAAACCCUGAAGCAGCAACGCCGCGUGGAGGAUGACACUUUUCGGAGCGUAAACUCCUUUUCUUGGGAAAGAAUUAUGACGGUACCCAAGGAAUAAGCACCGGCUAACUCCGUG
rnacentral:rRNA from 1 species